rnacentral:rRNA from 1 species
UACGUAGGGUGCAAGCGUUAAUCGGAAUUACUGGGCGUAAAGCGUGCGCAGGCGGUUCGCUAAGACCGAUGUGAAAUCCCCGGGCUUAACCUGGGAACUGCAUUGGUGACUGGCGGGCUAGAGUAUGGCAGAGGGGGGUAGAAUUCCACGUGUAGCAGUGAAAUGCGUAGAGAUGUGGAGGAAUACCGAUGGCGAAGGCAGCCCCCUGGGCCAAUACUGACGCUCAUGCACGAAAGCGUGGGGAGCAAAAGGG